CAUGGGUUUAUGUUAUAUUCCAUCUCUUGCACACUGGACAAGUGCUGGGCUUCAGGCUGGUGUGCAGGGGGUGGAAUAUAUCAUUGAAUCAUG
rfam:Gossypium raimondii Chr07_contig_541, whole genome shotgun sequence.